GCCAUUGUGACUGGUGUGAGGUGGGAUCUCAUUGUGGUUUUGAUUUGUAUUUCCCUGAUGCUGAGUGAUGACAAACACAAUUUUUAUUCGUUUCCGCGCCAGCUCGAAUCAGAGAGGUCCACGCUUUCUUGACAGCUUGACAAAGAAAAUGUGGUGAGUGCCAGUUACUGGGCACUGUGGGAAAUGCUUUGUAAGUGCUCCCCUAUUUCAUUUUCCCAAGAAACACCUGAGGUUCUUGUUCCCACUUUGCAGAUCUAGGAGGCUCAGGUGGAAGGAAGCUGUGUCUCCACAUUCAUCGAGCUAAGAGUAAAGAAUCCCUCCAGCUCUGCUUUGUCCCAGAUCCUGUGCUCUCAAAUACAACAUCCUGUGCCUCCAAAAACCAAAUGCAAAGGGAGAAGUGAAGAUGUGGACACCAGAGGCUGGCGUUUACUGGAGGAAGCGUGAACUCCGAGAAACAGAAUGGGAAGGGUUCUGGAGGAAAGGCAGUGGCUCAGGAAAUGAAAAAUAUGAGAAAGAAAUAAGCAAGGGAAAAGGGAUGGAGGGUGGAGCCAGAGGCGCGGGUUUAUAGAAAAUUCCUAACAUUUAUCAGACCAAAGGAAACAUCUUUAUUUUUAGUUGAACAGAAACUCCCACAACAUCUAUUCAAUUUGGUAUGUUUAAAUGGAGGAUUAUAAAUGAUACCCUCUUGCCCACCACGAGUUUACUUAUGGGAAAUGAACCUCCCUUUGACACGGAGACAAGCUUCUUAAUCAUCAGCUAAUUCUAGCAUGUGGACAUUUUUGGAACCAGAGAAUUAUAUUUCAAAGCUUCUGCUGAGUGCAUGAGUGCUCCAUGGGCAUUUUGUCUCAGUAAGAAGCGGAGAUGUUGGCCCAUAGAUCUUGGAUAGAAAAGACCUUUGAGACUCUCAGGUGGAUUUUCUUGCCAGGCCAGGAGCAGAGAUGAAUACUAUUAUACAGAGCCUCUAAAGGGCAUACACUUCGGCAAUAACUGCUUAGCAAUGCCUAACACUUGAGACCGUAUCUGUCUGGCCAAGAUUUAGUAGCUUCUAAGCCUUGCCAGAGUUCAGUUCCCACUGAGCCAUCUGCCCUCCCUCUGUGUAAAAGCAGAUACUUUCUCACCAGAAUGGUAAUAAAAGUGGCAAUUGGCAAGGAAAAUUGUGACCAUUUGUUUAGUUAGUGUAAUUCUUCCUUCUCAGAGUCUAUGUAUUUCCAAGUGGUCUAGCUCCAUAUUUACAAUUGGUUUUGGGUGAAGGUCAACCUCAGACAUGUGGAAUUCCCAUAAGGGCUUAAUUUAUAGUGUACGAAGGGGGAUAGGAGUUUUUUGAGAGGAGCCCGAACUUGAUACUUUGAUGUGCUAUUUCCCUAGUUUUCGUUAUCUGCGACCACUCCGAUCUUUGCAUAUACUGCCUGGUUCACAUAGGUUAUUCUGUGAUCUGGGGAGAUCUGAGCGCUGCCGAGCUGGCCGCCUCUGAAGGCCAACAGACAUUCAGUCCCUGAGUUCCCCGGGACGUCCUGUCUGACUGCCCCGCAGGGAAAGAGGAGAAGAAGGAAUGAGAUUCGGCAGCCAUAGUGUGUGGGGAAUUAGUAGCUGUGUGUCUUUGGGACAGUUACUUACUGUUUCUUUUCUCUGUUUUGUUACUGGAAAAGCAGGGUAAUGGGACCUGUCUCCCUGGGUUUUGGGAGGAAUGAAUAAGGCAGCGGGCUAACAAUGUGUAGCUCCUGAUACACUAACUGAAUACCAGCUCCAUAGACAUUUUAGUUCUUCAGCAGAGUCCAGAGAGGACCGGUUUAUUCAGGAAGUGGUCCCAUCUUGUUCUGUCAACUACAGUAAUUUGGUACCUACGGAAGUUUUAUGUAGAGAGGAAGAGCAGAACAGGGUGGAAAAAAAUAUGGUGUGAGGAUAUGAAAGUUGGAAAUCGUGAAGUACUGAUUUGUGAAUUAAGUCACUCUACCUGAAUUCAAAUAUGUAUUUGUUUUCCCAUUCCCUGUUGCCCCAGUGAUCCCAAAUCUCUCAGCCGUGGCCAUGGUACCCGCCAUCUUUGGGGGCGUGGGGAUUGCCGGCUGCUACUUUAGAACCCCUGCUUGUCCCAUCCUUGGCUUCACAGCAUUUUCAAGCCCCUCCUCGCCGGGGUGGCACGCACUCCUUUACCCACCUCUGAGGCCUUUGUGCAGCACACGGAGAAUGAGGACACAGAAAAGCGUCAUCCAGGUGCUGCUGAAACUGAGGCGGUGACAGACUUUGAGGAAGCCGGUGCCCAUCAAAGAGCAUCACCUUCCUCUGUCUGGCCAUUGUGUGGCUGUUUUGAAGGUUGGUCAGAACCCAGGAUCUUUCUUUGUUCUUACUUUUCUAUGAGAUGUGAAGAAACAGGAAGGGAAACCUGCUUCCGAGAGACACUUAAUCCAAAAGAAUGGGGGUGGGGGGGAAGAGGGGGACUUUUUUCCAAGGUAGGGUCAAUGCUAGAAACCAUAACUUAGGAGUGGAAAAUGGAAGAAAAGGUGAAUGAUGCUUUUUAAAUGAGCCCAUUGGUUUCAUGAAACCUCAAUACUUUAAGAUAACAUGAAAGCAUGAAUUUUUAAGCAUAUAUUUUAAGAGAAUAAUGGAUGUAUAUACAUAGACACACCUACACAUUUUACUGCCAAGUUACAAAAUUCAGGCUGUAGAACAUCUAAACUUUCCUACAUGGUUUGCCAAAAACCAAAUCUCACAUAUAGGUACCGCAUCGAAUCCAACUCUAUUUCAGGAGAUGAAACAGAUGGGUGCUGGAAGCCAUUCAGCUGUAAUUCUAAUUAGUACCAUGUUCAGUUUGCAGCAAAGCAUGCAAAUAGCUCAUUUGCCUUUGAAAAUGACACAAUUCGAGAUAUGUUUCAAGGAGUUGUCCUGACGUGCUGAACUCACUCAUUGAUUGUCCUCCUUGAUUUGAAUUCAUCUUGUGCUAAACUACCUCCCGGAUUUCCCCAAAUUCUCUAUUUUAGUGCUUUGUUCAUACUGUUAUAUUUUAAUAUUUGCCAGGUCCUGUUAGGCUACCACACAUUGAUUGGCUCACAGAAUUUUAUGUGAAUUUCACUUGGUUGAUUUUCGGCUUCCUGUGCCUAAGCUCCAGAAUGUUCUUAGCUGAAGUUCUGUCAGUUACAAUGUGUUGGAUAUUGUGAUGCACAUGGGAUUCCUGCUUCCUAUGAAAAAGCCUGUAAGUAGCUUUCCAAGAACAGGUGACUAUUAUGAGCCAAAGGUAGGAAGUUGCUCUCAGCAGUCCUAUAAGGUAAGCAUUUCCUUAUAAAUGCAACUCUUGUAUACAGAAUUAAACUGAGCAAACAGUGAAAAAUCUGUAUUUAUCAUGUAACGAGGGGCUUGAGGUUGUUUCUAUAACAUAUCUCUUUAAUAACCUGGGAAGGAGUGUGGGAAGAGUUUAUUAUUACAUGUGAUGGGAAAAUUUCUAACUCUGAGACCCAGGAGAUAGCAAAAAAGAGGAAAAAGCAGUUUCAGUUGUAAGCUAUCUGCAUUUUCUAGACCUCAGUAAGUCAUAAUUCUAAGAAGUAAAAUCUGGUAUGAACUUUAACUUGUACACUUAAGUUAAAAAUCUAAGCCAGUGACACAUUGCAGAAGAUAAGACUGUCUUCCUCUUCCAAAACAUAUAAUCACUCCUCUCCCCACUCCUUUGGCUGGUUUGCCCCAUUUUGUGGUAGAGUCGAAAUAUUUCAAGCUAAAAUAACAGAGUCAAAUUCAAGGUCUUCCUAGCACAACUUGGGGAAAUGCCAAACAUAGCAGCAUGUUGUUCUUGACAGGUACAACUCCAUCAGUUUCUUCAGGGAGAGAAAGAUUUGCAGAACAUCCCACAGGGAGAUGGAGCCAAUGCCUCAUUGAGUUACAAUCACUGAGUUAUAUUCCUUGACACACUGUAUUUACGUCUUUCAUAGACCCACUGAAAAAAGACAAUGGGACUGAAAAUGAAAGCAAAUCUUAGUAGAAAGGAUUCUGUUCAGUCCGUCAAUACUAUGAGAAGUUGGAGAAUUGUUGGGACUUACCUGAGAACAAAUUAUUUUCUUUGAGCUAUUAUUAGCACGCUGGACAAACACCACAGUAAACUGUGGAUGUAUAUCAUACCACCUGACCUUUUCUUUUUGCCACUGACUGACCGUGCGCUGUGCCAGUCGUCAGCACCUGUCCAGAGAGGUAUUUCCCACGUGUAUGUUCAUUAGGUCUCUGUCGGACUUGAUAGCUCAUCCUAUGAUAUGGGCCCAUUAUUUCUGAAUAGGCAGUACAAAAUUUUAGUCUGUGUCUUCAGCAGGUAGAGGAUGGGAGCUUCUCCAGGGAUAUAGCCUCAAACAUUUGCCAGCCAAACCCGAAAUUAUGGGAGGUUUUUACAGUGACAGCUCACAUUUAGAAAAUCAGCUUUGCUUUCCCUUACUGUAGCUGCUUUAUUUAGCCUUUGCUUUGUUAAGGGAAGAAAAAAAACGAAUGAGGGAAAGAUCAGUGUGUCCUGGUAGAUUGUUUAUGCAUAUUUAAAACAGAGGAAAUAUGUUCGUGUUGCUUCUAGGCAUCUAGGCAGCGCCUCGGCAACUGUGAUGGGCAGAUGGGAAUCGCCACUAUUUAGAAAUAUCUGCUGAGGAAACAUAUAUCACAGCUGCCCAUUUAGCUAAUGUAGACUAUUUGUAAUGUCAUUUUUAAUGUAUUGGAUAUUAUUUUGUGCACACAGUGUUCAAACACAGGCCCAUCCUCCUAAGUACCUGUGAUUUUUCUGGAAAAAAUAUUUGUAAACGAUUAUCCCUAGAGACUCUUUUUAAACAGCCAAAUGGCUAUAUACCCACGAACAUUUGAACAGUGAAAUAUUUAGAAUUAUUGAAACAACCUACAGAAUACGAAUCCAUUCUAGGAAAAAUUGCACACAAUGAAAAUGGUGGGCACAGAUGGGUAGCAGUGGUAUUUGUAGAUACCGUGCUUCAUGCAUGGGGCUUGGCUGAAGGGAUAUCGACGUUGGCUUCAUGUUGCUAAUCCAGACCUCAUAGUCCUUGAGGGAGUGUUCACAAGAAGUUACGCUAUUCCCACGUGAGAGGCCUUAAAGACAUAUGUGGGUAGCUCAGAUUCCUGAUUGUUUAGCUAGUUCCUGUCUCUCCAUUCACAAAAGCAAAAUUCCAGAAGCAGAGAGCGGUGGGAUGAAUUUUAGCUAAUGACAAACCUCUCUAAACUGUCCCAGGUGACUCCUGGUCCGUACCUAUGUAAAGUUGGACUCUCGGCAUUUCGUGACUUGGUCCUCUUCUUUCCCUGGUUAGUCUCUGAUACAAUUGGCUUGGACGUAGUUCACGUCAAUCAGUUUGCCACGUAAGUGACCAGAGCUAUAAGUAAGUGCCUGGCAUUUGUCGUUCCAACCGAUCCAUUUUUACCAUCAAAAAUAAUCAAUGCAGAGAGAAAUCAGAAAUACAAAUCCAUUUCUGCACAAGCCCUACCUAAUCCCGUUUCACUGCCUACAUACAAUUCGUGCAGAAAAAAAUAAGACCCGACUAAAGCUCCCUGAUCCCGACUGUGCUCUACACUUAAGAUGAUGUUUCAUCUGGAUUGGGAGCUUGGUUUUGGAGAUGGAGGAACCCAUUGGGUGUCAAUCCACGUAGAUGAGGUGACUGAGGAAUACUGGAGACUUGGUUUAGAGGUCCAACAGAUUUGGCUGGAAAAAUCCUUUUUUCCGCUAACUUGCCUUAUAGCUUUGGGCAUGUCACCUCAGCAGUCAACCUCAGUGUCUUCACUGUAAAUUAGUCUUUGUUUCCUCCUUUUCCUCGUGUAGUCAUUUCAACUUGCGGAACUGACGUGGCUGUUAAAGAAGUGAUGUGUCAAUAGCACAGUGGGCUCUCCGACGGACAAGUCAAGCACAUUAGGAAGGAACACAGAUUCUAGAGCAGACAUGUCUGGGCAGAAUUCCAGCUCCAGAAGCACAAAGAGUCUGGCAGCAGCAAGAGUCAUGAGGACCUGCAUCUUGGAAUCACCCACAGCGUAUUGUGGGGUCCCCCGUGUUGUGAAUUUGGGCUCAACCAAAAGCUUAAAGGGCUCAACUGAAAAGCUUAAAGGCGACUUUAACAUUGGACUUGGCAGGCUAAGUAAGAAGACUGCUCGACCGAAUGGUAGGUGGGUGGACAUCAUCUUGUCAGCAAAGGCCUGAAUAGAACAAAAAGGAUUCUUGGUAAGAGGGAAUUCCUCUGGCCUGGCUGCCUUCCAACUGGACAUAGGUUUCUCUUGCCUCCGGAGUGCAAGGACACCAUCCGCUCUCCAGGGUCUCAGGCCUUUGACCUUGAACUGUAACUAAACCACUUACUCUCCUGAGUCUCCAGCUUACUGACUCAUCUGAAAGAUCUUGGGACUUACCAGCGUGUAUUAUGUAAAGUUUUUCCACGUUUUCCCCCUUGCUUGUAGAUUAAUCUUGUAAUACAGAUUUUAUUUGACAAAAACAAGUGUAUCUAACACUUUUUAUUUAUUUAUUCAGCAAAACAUGCAUUUAGGGUCUAUGAUGUACCGGGCCCUACACUAACCUCUGAUACAGAACAGGGAAUAUGGUUGUUACUUUUGUGGAGAUUUUAGUCUGAUAGAGAAGAGAGAAACAUUGUACAAAUAAAUAAAAUAUUUUUAUAGGUUAUAUGAAAGUUAUGAAAAGGGUAGAGACUUUGAGGAGUUGCCAGUCAAGCUGAAACCUGAAAGAUGAGAAUCUUUUAAUCAUAUGGCAAGGAAGCAGGGAAUUCUGGGCAGAGAGCCGGCCUAAAGACCCAGAGUGGGGAGGCUGACCUGCUGGGGGAAUUGAGAAGAAGAGCUUUGCUGAGUCCGUGAGCAGUCCAUGGGACAAGCAGGAGGUGAAGUCACACGAUAGGUAGUAUGGAUACUGGGCAGGACUUUGAGGAUCACAUCAAAGAGAAUUAGCUAGAAACAAAUGGGAAGCUGUGGAGGGAUGUUAAGGGUUGGAUUAACAUGACUUAAUUCAUGUUGAUCAUGUUUUUUAAAAUUUUUUCCAAGCUUGGGACGCCUGGGUGGCUCAGUC